rnacentral:lncRNA from 1 species
AGCAACUCAAACUCUACUCACGAGGUCCAACACCGAAAUCUACAUAGAAAGUGCAGAGUGCAGUAUCAAUACAACCGACUCCAUGUACUGGUAAGUUUUGAGCCUAACCUCGGCAAAGUAAUGACGAGGCUAUGGCAAGACAAUAAUAUAAACCUAUGUAGUUAAAUCAUAUACGAGAAAGCAAUUAGAACAGAAAUUUAACAAAACAUACCGGGAAGGGGAAACAUGCUUAAGGGAAUAUCAAAUUCUGACAAUAAUACAAUAAAGAAGAAAAGUAAAUAUCAUGCUUGGAACCAACAAAAAUAAUAACAUAAUAACAUGAGCAUCACCCUUCGUGCUUUUACUCUUUUCCUCACCAUAAGAAAUAACAAAAAUGGCACGGCAUCACCCUUUAUGCAUUAACUCUCUCAUAAUCAUGGCAUGGCAUUACCCUUCGUGCAUUACCACUCAUAGAAUAUAGCACAACAUCGCCCUUCGUGCAUUAUCAAUAUAGAAUAUGGCACGGCAUCACCCUUCGUGCAUUAACACUCACUCACAAUAUCGUGCACGACAUCACCCUUUAUUCUUUGCACUCCUCCUCACCCAAACAAUAGAAACAAUAACAUCCCGGCAAGGGAAUCAACAAUAACCAAUCACGUUUCAACUGUUAACUUUACAAUAGGAAUAUCAACUUGAGUCAAUACUUAACCAAUUUCCAAAAUAGGGAAGAAUAUAAUAAAAUUUGUUUAGCAUGGAGAAUUAACCAAUUAAAGCAUGAAUAGUACAUAUAAAGGAAUACCACAAUCACAAGUAUAAGACUCACUUACAUGCUAUGACCCAACACUAAUGUAUAGGUACUUGUCACUUCACCUAUACGCCGUACUAAACAACUAAACACGUAGCAAAUAAGGAAACAACACCUAAUCCAUCAAUCUGAGGUUAGCCACAACACUUACCUCGAUUCCAUGGAAAAAAUCAAGCCUCAAUUGCUGCGUUACCUCUCGGUUCCACCUCUAAUUCACUUGUAUAUAGCCACAGUUAACCUAAUAUCAUCAAUAAAUGCUAGAGAAAUCAAUUCCAAUUUAUAGCUAUAAGUUUUCCAGCAUUUUCCCCAAAAAGUCAAAAAAGUCGACCCCAGGCUCGUUUGGCCAAAACUCAAAGUUCGGACCAAAACCCGAUUACUCAUUCACCCUCGAGCCCGAAUAUACUAUUAGUUUUCCAAUCCGACCUCAAUGUGAGUUCUAAAUCCCCAAAUUUUGAAAUUCCUAUAUUCUACCCAAGAACUCCCAAUUCCAUUAUGAAAACCCC